rnacentral:rRNA from 1 species
AGUGAACGCUGGCGGUAGGCCUAACACAUGCAAGUCGAACGGCAGCACAGUAAGAGCUUGCUCUUACGGGUGGCGAGUGGCGGACGGGUGAGGAAUACAUCGGAAUCUACUUUUUCGUGGGGGAUAACGUAGGGAAACUUACGCUAAUACCGCAUACGACCUACGGGUGAAAGCAGGGGAUCUUCGGACCUUGCGCGAUUGAAUGAGCCGAUGUCGGAUUAGCUAGUUGGCGGGGUAAAGGCCCACCAAGGCGACGAUCCGUAGCUGGUCUGAGAGGGUGGUCGGCCCCAAUGGAACGUGGACACGGGCCAGAGUCCUACGGGAGGCGGCAGUGGGGGAUAUUGGGAAAUGGGGGGAAACCUGACUGAACCAAGCCGCGGGGGUGAAGAAGGGCUUCGGGGUGUAAAACUCUUUUUUUUGGGAAAAAAAAACGGGUGGGUAACUCCCCGCUGUUUGACGGUUACCAAAAAAAAAGCCACGGCUAACUUCGUG